CCUGGCUUAGGAUGAACGCUAGCGGCAGGCUUAACACAUGCAAGUCGAGGGGCAUCGGGAGUAGCAAUACUGCCGGCGACCGGCGCAAGGGUGCGUAACGCGUGAGCAACAUGCCCGUAUCAGGGGGAUAAUCCAUGGAAACGUGGCCUAAUACCCCAUAGUAAUUAUGUAAGGCAUCUUAUAUAAUUUAAAGCUUUGGUGGAUACGGAUUGGCUCGCGUGACAUUAGCUGGAUGGUAAGGUAACGGCUUACCAUGGCUACGAUGUCUAGGGGUUCUGAGAGGAAGGUCCCCCACACUGGAACUGAGACACGGUCCAGACUCCUACGGGAGGCAGCAGUGAGGAAUAUUGGACAAUGGAUGGAAAUCUGAUCCAGCCAUGCCGCGUGCAGGAAGAACCGGCCCUAUGGGUUGUAAACUGCUUUUGUAUGGGAGCAAUAAGGGCUACGUGUAGUCCGAUGAGAGUACCAUACGAAUAAGCACCGGCUAACUCCGUGCCAGCAGCUGC
rnacentral:rRNA from 1 species